CAGAUGGAUGGAUGGAUAGUUGGAUGGAUGGAUAGUUGGAUGGAUGGGUGGAUGGGUGAAUAGAUGGAUGGGUGAAUAGAUAAUAGCAGGUGGAUGAUGGAUGUAUGGAUGAGUUGUUUCAGGCUCUCUUCUCCCCUUCACUCCUCCAAGCACACCCAGCAAAACCACCUUUCCCACUACCUCUUCCCAAGGAGCCUUUGUCCCAAGUCCAUAAAUCUGUUUCAGUUCCAUGUCACACUGCCUUCCUCUGGACGACUGAAGAAUCUCUAAAAGGCCACCAGGCUUCUGUCCCCUGUAACCCUGCUGAGUGCUGUUGCCACCUUAGAUUCCCUAAGCUAAUCUUGAUCUUAUCUCUUUAUAUCUUAUCAAUCCAGAGGCUCCCCACUGUCUCCGGAAGAAAGACAGGACACUCUGGAAUGGCCUCCAGGUUUUAGUACACGAUCCCUGUAACUCCAUUCUCCUCCCAGUUUCUGCUCGGCCCUCUCAUGGCCUACAGUGCUUGACUCUUCACUGCCUCCAUACCAGACCUUAGCUAGUCUCACAUUCAUCCACCUACUCAGGAAAUAUUUACUGAGUAUUUAUGAUGCACCAGGCAUACCCUGACAGACUGGGGACGUGAUGGACAGGGAACUUAUUAAACGGCAGAGGAAUGACAAUAAAAAAAAUAGGCAUUGGCAUGCUGGGCUGCCAGAGGACUCGAGGAUAACACAACCGCGAAGCUGCUGUGGGGUGAUCAGGAUAGAAACACCAUGAGUUUGUUGAGCACCAUGUAGGAUGUUUGUUUACAAAACUGAAAUGAGCUGAGUUGUAUUUCCAGCCCUCUAUAUCUACUCAAGCCCCACCUGUCAAGAAGCCUCUUCUCGAUCCCUCUCACUAACUCUUCCAGCUGCAUCUCUGUGUGUACUCAGUGCCUCUCCCUGAUCUGGCUGUAGACAGAACUGGGCAUUACCCACCCGUGAAAUGGCACACUUCGGAGGUCCCUUGGAGCAGGUCAAGUACAGGCAUCAGAAAAGAACACUGCUAUGUCUUUCAGCCUGUUCCCCAAAUCAGCAGCUGAGCUCCCUGAAAACACCAGGCUCCCUGCCCUCACCCCUGUGGAUUUUAAAACUGUGGGGAACAGGAGGAUCCACAGACCCUCCAGUGGGGUCUCAUAGCCCUGCUUCCCUCUACACAGUAGGGCUUGGGCCAAAAGUUUCAAAUUGUGCCGGAGCCUCCUCUGGAGACAGCUUGGAGGUGAUAGACCAGAGUAGCCCAGGGACAGGGCUUCCAUCCGCAUCACUUUGGGUUUAUGUGGCACCUGCAUUGGAAAUUCCUUCCUGUUAGAAGGAAAUGUUCUACAGCUGGAAGGAGGAAGGUGGGGGCAGGUAAUAAGGGAGGGUUGGAUUGCUAGGGGUGGUAAUAUCAACGCAGAGGACUAUGGGAACAGUUUCUGUGACUUCUAGAACCUGCUGAUGCUUUUGGUGAGAAGAACCUCAGUUUGUGGCUGCCUGCUAAUUUCCAUUAUAACUCAAGAAACUUGACUUUCCCGAUCAUGUUAAUCACUGUUGUUGUUUGUUUGUUGUUUUGUUUUGUUUUUAUUGUUGUUUAUUUUCCUGUAGAGUGCAUUGGUCUUUCUCUUGCAAUGAGUUAUACCUCAAACAGCAUGGCUGGCCUGGAAGUCCACAUCUGGGGAUAUGUUUUACCCCCGUGUCACACCUUGCCUGUGUUUUCCUUCUCUGGUGUCAAAUGCUCACUUGUUCUCUUGAUUAAUAUCUGGGCUAUUUGAUAUCACUAAAUCACUCCUUCAGAGUGACAGAUGUGCACUACCAAGGCCAGGAGCUGAGGGCUCUCAGGUGCCCAAGAAGGGACUGAACCCUUUCAGUGAGACUCAGAGGCCCUUUGGCAAGAAGGCUUGGAAGAACCCAACCGGUUCACUGCUCACAGCUAAACAGUUUGGGGUCUCAUGGUUGUAAAGUGCUUUCUGGUGAAAGCAAUUGCAUAAUCUUCGUCACAAAACUCCCUUGUUAGAAAGUGCCCGAUCUGCCCCCAAUUUACACCCUUUUUCUAACAUACUCACCACGUCUUCAAGCCAUCUGUUAGCUUAGAGAAGGACAAAGCUAACUACCUGAGAAGACCACCUGUGUGCUUAUAUGUGAGAAGGUACUGUUGCUUGCAUAUCCUGUCUUUUUCCUUUUAAAAUAUAUUCUCCUCAUAAAUUGAUGCUUUUGUUACAUACUCUGUGACCUGGGCUACCUUUAAUUAGAUUCUUAAGCUGCAAGACACAUUCUUCAUUAAUUCUUUUCAGAGAAGCACGUGGACUCUUCAAGAUCCAUUUGAGUGGAUGAUAGACAAAUAAUGAAAAACUUCCUCUGCCCUCUUUGUCCAUUCUGCACUCACUCCACAGCAAUGCUACACCAGUGUCUUGUAGAGUGUUGGGGAGACCCAGUGAUGCCUGGAAUCCAGUCUCUUUCUUUAGGAUCCCUAGAGCCCUCCAUCUUCCUGGAAAGAGAGGUAAAGGACCAAAGUGUGCCCUGCUUCCUACCCACAUGGCCUCUGGAUAGUGGCUUUCAGCCAUCUGCUUCUUCUGUCUCAGGGCAAAUUUCCCAGCAGAUACAGAUGCAUGUGAGGAAUUUACAUAACAAGGUAACAAACACUGACAGGCAACUGCAUUGCCAGGAUGUGGAAGGGACUGACAACACUUUCAAGGUAGAUGAAAUGGGAUUGAGGGGAAAAAAAUGAUCAAGCGCAUGUAUGCCAUAUGUCAAAUUCUCUUCCUUAAAAACAAGCUGCUUUAAAGGUGUGUGUGUGUGUGUGUGUGUGUGUGUGUGUGUGUGUGUGUGUGUGUGUGUUCUUUGAGAAUUUCGUACAGUGUGUUCUGAUCAUGUUUAUCCACCUUCCCCUAAUUCCUUCCAGACCUACUCCCUACUCCCCUACCCACCAACUUUGUGUUCCUGCUUAGUUAGUUAGUUUUAUUUUUUUAUUAACCUAUCAAGCCCAGUUUGUGCUACCCACAUAGCCUUGUAUAUGUGACCUUCAACUGGAGCAUGGUCAACUUAUCAAGGGCUAUAUUCUCUGAUAAGAGGACAUAAACUGACUCCCUCUCUCCCAACAGCUGUUAAAAUUAUCUUCAGCUCAGGGUGAGUGAGACUUUGUGCCCACCUUCCAUGCUAGGAUUUGCUCUGGCUUGGGCUUGCACAGGUCUUGAGAAUGCUCUCAUAACUGCUGUGAGUUCGUGGACAUGCAGCUACCUUGCUGUGUCAUUGUUUUCUUGUAGUCGUCCGCCACCCCACUGUGUAGUAGUGGCAUAAGCAUCGUGGGUGUAACUACUAACACUCUGCUUCUGAUUGGAUCUAAGUCCCAUCCCACAUGAUGAAACCUAUGCUUGGCACCAUUACCCAACCAAGAACCUACAGCUAGACAGGUUAUAAGCCCCAGGAGAGAAUAUUAUUAUAUUCUAUAUAUUACUAUUAUUUGGUAAAUGGACAUAGUAUUUAAACUUAUAACUCAUUGUUAUAUCCAUAGAUUAACACUCAGUAUCUUCUUAUUCCAAAGAAAACCUUUAAAAUGAGAGAGGCAAAUGGGCAGGUGGACUAGCUCAGGAAGACACAGUUUAUUUCUGAAUCAAAUAACAGUCAAUUGACUGGAGUAGACACAGUAGUAAUGAUUGUGCAUCUUAUUAACUAGCUUUAUCCUGUGACACACAUUAGGUCAGAGUACCAGAGGGGUAGGAUGGAGGGUGGAGGAAGCUCAGUAGAGCACACUCGCCUCUGUGAAGUAGCUGACAGGUGAACACUACUGGCCCUCCAACCAUAGGCCUACAUCAAGCCAGUAGGCAGACUGGGGAGUAGAGGUCAACCCACUCAUCCUGCCUCACAGAAUCCACUCCAAAGUAGUGACUUCCUCCUUGAGGAAAGGAAGAGGGCUGAGGAUGGCCUGAGGAAGGAUGAAAGAACAAGAGCAGCACCUUAAGACCUGAGUUUGGGGGGUACCCACUGAAGUGGAUGCUCUGUGAACUCUGGAGAAACUUCCAGAGAACUUCUUGACACGCAGAAGACAUAAACUCCAAAGGCAAGAGAGUGAGAUAACAGGGAAGGGUAACAACAUAGCCAGCGAGGGAGCUCCCUUGGCCAAGAAAUAGAUUGAGAGAUAGAGAAGGGUUUUAAGGAAACAGAACUCAUUGUCAGAUGGAUAUCUCAGUAAGAGCAGAUGUGUUGCUGCUGAGCAUUGACUGGAUGAUGCGGAAAAGCCUUCCUAGGAAUGCCCACAAAGAAGGUAGAAAAGGGCAACAUUAAGAGAGAAGACAAAGCACCCGGGGAACAGAAAAGGGAGAACCAACAUAUGUAAAAUUGAACUAGCUGCUUGUAAGAAGGUGGAGAGUUUCAGGGGUCCUGGAACAAUUCCCAGAACAGUUAGAAGUUCCUAAAAGAGGCAUCUAUGCAAAAAAACAUGAAAACUGACACAACUAUAAAAGAAUAUAACUUUUCUUUGCUGAGUAACAAUGUGAUAGUCACAUCUGGGUGUUUUUGAACUACGUUAAGUACUUGGCAAAAAUUUCAUUACAUAUGUUUAUUUAUUUAGGGGAGGGGAUACAUGUCACGGCAUGCAUAUGGGGAUCAGAGAACAACCUGCCUUGGACAGUUCUCUCCUCCCACCAUGUAGGUCCUGGGGACAGAAGUCAGGUUGUCAAGCUUGGUGGCCAGUGCCUUUACUCUCUGAACCAGCAUCCCAGAUUCCAUACAGCUAUAAAGAAAUCUUACACCUACCCAAGGACACACACACACACACACACACACACACACACACACACACACACACAAUAACAAUCAGACAGACUGUUUAGAAAAUGAAGGAAAGCAUGCCUGUUACUUUCAGUAACAUAAAUACUAGUUUCAGAACAGUAAAUUCAAAGAAAAUAAGAGCAUUUGUGUGAUUGGGGCUAUGUUGUUUUGUUUUAGGAGUGAAAAUUGGUGUUAUAGAAGGAGUGUGCCCAGCAAACUGAAGGCAACAAACACUUUUUAGUUAUGUUUCAGGUGUCAGAAAAUGUGUAAGUGUUUAGAAAAAUAAAUGCCUGAAGAUUUAUUUCAGUUGAUAAAGAGAGGAAGUUUGGUGUUGUACAUUAGAAAUCUGCUUGCACGCUAGCUUUAGCUUUUCAUUCAUCCUAUGGAACUGCAAUGUUACACUCUUUGACCUGAAUCCCUUUCCCUCUUGCCCCAACAGCAUCCGCCAUUUUAACUGUUCUAUGUAUUUUUUUAACUUUCUAUUCCAUAUACAAGCAAGAUCAUGCAACAGUCUCCCUCCCCUACAUCUGUGGUUUGUUUUUUUUUUUCACUUAAUAUCCUCUGGGUUUAUUUAUUCUGUAACAAGUAGCAAAAUCUCCUUUUUCAAGGCUGAACAAUAAUUCAUUAUAUAUAAAUAUAAUUUCAUUAUUAUCAGCUGAUGGACAUGAGUUGUUUUAAUAUCUUUCCUAUUACGAAUAAUGCUGUGUGAGCACCAGAGUGCAGACAUCUCUGUAAGGUGCAGCUUUCAUUUCCCCUGAGUAUAAAACCAGAAGAGGGAUUCUAGCUGAUGUUGUGGUUUUAUUUUUAGACAUUUGAGGAACCUCCUUUCUGCUGCUCCUACCAUCGCUUGCUGUCUCUUGUCCUUCUUUUGGACAGCACCCGUUACUGCAUGAGGUGAUACCUCAUUGUCCCAUCAUGGAUUUGAUUCUCAUCUCCUUACUGGUAACUUGAGUAUCUUUUCACUCACUAGCCAUUAGGGGGUGGGGAAUAAGCAAAUGUGGGGACAUGUGAACCCGUGUGGAGGCACUCUCCACCUUCUCUUCUGGUGUAUAUGAGAGACACAGGGUUUCUCACAGAACCUGGUGCUCACUGAAUCAUCUUUACUAACUGGCCUGGGAGCCCCCAGCAUCCUCUUCUCUCUGCCUCUCCAGUGCUGGGAUUACAGGUAUGUACCACUGGGCUGUUUUGUUGUUGUUGUUGUUGUUGUUGUUGUUGUUUUGGUUUGGUUUGGUUUGGUUGGUUGGUUGGUUGGUUGGUUUGUCUGUUUAAUGGAGGUUCUGUGGCUCAAACUCAACAUGCUUUUAUAACAAGCAUUUCACCAACUGAACCAUCUUCCCAGUCCUUCCUGGCCAUUCUUAUGUCUUCCUUGAAGAAAAUGGCUACUCAACUCAUGCCCCCUUGUUUAGUUGAGGGGUAUUUUUUGGUUCUGUUUGCUUGCCACAGAGUUGGGUAAGCCCUUUGCCUACUGUGAAGAGCAACCAUUUUAUUAACACUCAGUUUGUGAAUCUUUCUUCCAGUCUCUGGACCACCUUUUCACUGUGUUCUUUUCUUUUCUGUACAAAACUCUUUAGUUUGUUCUCAUUCCAGAUAUUUGUUUUUGCUUCAGUUGACUGAGGAAUUCAUUGCCAAGAUCAUCACUGCCAAGGAGUUGUUUUUCACCCUGUUUUCUUUAGAGUUCCAGGUCUACAUUUGGGAUGGUUGGUUGUUAUUGAUGUGAAGAAAGACCAGUUGACUGUUGUGUUGAUUUUGUGUCCUCUUAAACUGAAAUAAAAUGUCUCAAAUCAAAAAAGAAUAUAUAUAUUUAAAAUUCUAAUUACUGAAACCUAACUCUGUGUGUUCUGAUUUCUUGAAAUCAAGACCAGAGAGCAAAGGAAGGGGGUGUUGACCAAGCAACCUGAGGUCCCUACUACACUAAGGGAGGACUCAGAAAUGUUUCCACUUGAGCAUCUGGCAAACACUGUAAUUGCUUUAAAAGGAGUGAAAAGAAGACUUUUCAAACAAGACUGAAGAAAUGUACCACCAAGUUACUGUCUGGAAGAGGUCCAGCAAGUCAACUAUUCAAGGAAUGAGAAAACAAAUGAAGGGCUGGAGAGAUGGCUCAGCAGUUAAGAGCUCUGGAUGCUCUUCCAGAGGACCCCAGUUCUGUCCCCAGCACUCACAUGGCAGCUCACAACAUCCAUAACUCCCAGGGGAUCCAACGCCCUCUUCUGUCCUCUAUGGGCACUGCAUGAACAUAGUACACACACACACACACACACACACACACACACACACACACGCACACGCGCGUGCAGGAAAGUAUCUACACAUAAAUCAUAAGUCAUGUUUUUUAAAAAAAAUAAGUAAAUGAAGAAUAACAAAGUCAGAGGAAAGAGAAACAUGAGUACAGGAACUGUUGCAUGGAUAAAGGAUUGGGAUUGGUAACAGUAAGAUGUCACUAAAAUGCAGAAGAAAAAUAGAGCAGUUUGAUAUGAGAGUUAAAGAGCCAGAAUUUUGUAAACAGUAGAACCAUUCUGAGACCAUGCAAAAAUAUUGAAUACUUUUCUAUGUUAUAAACCAGCCAUGCCUGAAGUAUUAAUGGUGUCCACUUCCAAAUAAACAGUGGGAGCAAAGAGGGAUAAUGAAAGUUAAUCAAUACUGUGGAAAGGAGGAAAGUGGGGGUUGGGUAAUGUAGACAUAAAGCAUGAGAGAAGAUAAUGGAAUUAAGUCCAGACACACUAGCGAUGAGAACAAAUACUGUGUGGUAAGCUCAUCAUUCUAAAGGACGAACAUCAGAUAGACUACGAAGAAAUCCAUUAUCUACUGUUUAAAAGAAAACAUAUCUAAAGCCAUAAUGACUCACAUGUAUUCAAAAUAAAUGGAUAAGAGAAAAAUACAAUAGGCAAAUAUUAUUUUUAAAAAGCUGGCACCACUGGAUUAAUACCAAACAGAAUAAAUAUUAUGGAAAAGGCAUCAUGAAUAAUGAAGAAGGUCACUACAUAAUAAUAAAGAGCUAAUUGUUUGAGAAAGACACACGAAUCUGAAUUUCUAUGUAGCUAAGGUAUAGCCUCAAAACAAGCAGAUUUUCAAGGAGGAGCUGAUAGAUCUGUCAAUAGAGAGAGUAAUUUUACCAGGCCUCCUUUUGUUAUUGAUACAUUGUGAAGCCUGACUGCUUAUGAGGCCACAAAUUGCAAUCAAGACCAAAUGGCCUGCCACCUGGCUAGCGUCGCUUGACCUCAAAGCCAUCCAAUUAAAAAUCAAUAACAGAAGAAACUGAAAAGGAGUCAUGAUGGGAACGGGAAGGAUGUAGAAGGCGACGACAGAAACAUUUUGUACCAUGCACUGGAACUUCUGGAAAACCAACCGGAAGGCUCAAAGCAGCUCACUGGGAGCUCAGAAAAGGCAAGAGGGCUGCAAUUAACUGUGUGGAAACAAGCAACAGGAGGAUAAAUACACACAAUUACAGGAAUAGGGAAUGAAUUAUUAACAAGAUCCUCAUAUUUCAAAGUUCACGCUAAGGAAGAGAAGCCAUUUUUUUUUAAGUCUUCCAAGCUGGACACUGCUGUGUACUACUCUGUGGCUUCAAUCCCAGCACUCAGGAUAGAGAAUGGAAGAUUUGGGGUCCCAGGCCAUGCUGGGCUACAUGGCAGAACUCUGUUUCUCACUGUCAACCCCCUUUAUUUUAUUUUAUUUUAUUUCAUUUUUGAGAUAAGACUUUUCUAAUAAGAUUGAGCUAGUUUGCCAGGAAUAGGGUAUGUAACGAGACACAACAAAAAUAAAUAUUAGGGAUGAAAGGGGCAUAUGCAUGCAAAGUAAACUUUGAAAUACUAUGCCACUUGAAUGAAGUAGUAAUGUUUCCUGAGAAGAAAAUACAGCGUAUAAAAUCUGAUUCACACCAAAAAAAAAAAAUGAAAAUAGUUGAGUAGAGUGAUUACCAUGAAAGGAUUUGAAUCAGCAAUUUAAAUCUACUAGGCUCCCAAAAAGGAAACAACAUUAAGUCUAAACGUUUUGCUAGUGAAUUCUACUACAAACAUUGAACAGUGUGACUCCCAAACCUUGUCAGGAGGUGGAGAUACAGUGCCGUUGGGCUUGUCCCAGGACAGAAAGAAUGGUCCAAUUUUAGAGAAAUAUAUUCACUUCAUUGACUGACUAAAAGACAAAACACAUAUGGUCAUCUCAAGAGCCUAAGACCAAACUUUGAUAAAAAUGCAGAAUGAACUUUAAAAAUAUUGAAUAAAAGAGCUGGGAAUAUAACUCAGUAGUAGGGCACUUGCCUAGUGUGUAUGAGAGACUGGGUUCAAUUCAUAGCAUCUCGAUACAUGAGUGAAGAAGAACAGAAACUUUAUUGGGAUAGAACACAUACAGAACUCCAGAUCAAAUGUCCUAUUAUCCAGGGAAUCCUCAGUGUCCCCUCUAUAGGUAGGAAAGAAUGAUGCUUCCUCUCUUGACCACUACUCAGCACUCUGCUGCAGGCGCCUGCUAGCCACUUGACCAUAUGGAAAAGCAGUGGAUGAUGUAGGGGAGGGAAGAUGUCCACCUUGGGUGACAGUUGAUACAUCCAAAACUCACGUGGCUGGACAGAGAAAUCAUCAGACCACACAAGACAUUGCCAAAGCUGCUGGUUGCAAAGUCAAUAUAUUUUUAAAAAAUAGCUUUUUUUCAGCAUCAAAACCAAGUCAUUUUAACAAUAUAGCAUUUUAAUGUCAAAUUGUAAAACUCAGACAUUUCUUGACAUGAAUCUAAAGCAUAUUUAGAAUAACACUUUCUUUAGAAAGCUUCAAGAGGCCUAUGUGGACACAUUAUAAAAGCUUUAUUAAUAUAUUUAAAAUAACCAAGGAGCCAAACUUGCCUCAAAAGGAGAGAAUUUGUAGCCACUUUCCCCAAUUUUACCUGGAAAUUUAGUUCAAGUGUAGAAUGUACCCAUUGUAUUUUUUGAGGAAUUUGGCGAUUUAAUCAUAAACUUCAAAGGCAAAAGGUAGGACCAAGCAGAACAAACUGGAAUAAACCAGAGUGGGAGGCUUCUGCCAGGUUUUGAAACUUACAAUGCCCAUAAUUAAAAAAAUACAGAAUUCACAUAACGAUUUAGCACCAAUGCAUAUAUAGAAAACUCACCCUCCAGGGAAGCGUAAUAAAUAUCAAGGCCAGAUAAGCCACCAAUAAAUGUUGCUGGAAACAUUUAGAAACUGUGAUUGAGUUUCUGUCCCACACCAAAUGUAAUCAACUUCAGGCAUAUUGAAAACAAAUGUUUAAAUGUAAAAUGUUAAAAUAUUUCCGAAGAAAAUAUUCUAGAAUACUUAAUAAGGCAAGGAUGAAGAGAGAGAUUUCCUAAAGGUACCGAAAAUAGAGACUGUGAAGGAAAGUACAGCUAUGCUUAGCCAGAAAAAGGGAAAGUGGUUGAAAAACAGCAGAAAUAGUCAAGUCUCACAGUGGGAGAAAAGAUUUAGGCCCUACUUUAAAAAAAAAAAAAAAGAAAGUGCUAUCAUCCACAAUAUAUAAAGAAUUUCUAUGAACCAAUAAGAAAUAUCUGUUUAAAACCAUCCAUGCAUUCACUUGGCAGUUCACUCACUAAAAUUUGAACCAUGUAGAGAUUAGAAUGGUUCCCAUGCUAAGAUGUCAUGCAAAUUUGUGGCACCUUCCAUAUUUUUAAGCCACAUCCAAAAGAACAAAUAUUGUAUGAUUCCACAGAUAUGAAAUAUUUCAAGUUGGCAAACUCAUAGACACUGUGAACAGAUGAGAGCUUGCCAGGGACUUGAAGUUCGGGGUGGGGUGGGGGAUGAUCAGGAGGUACAGCUUUUUAGUGAUCACACAGUGUCUAUGUGGGGUGACAAAAGAGUUUCAGAAAUAGAUGGCGGUGAUGCCUGCACAACACUAUGCAUGUAAUUAAUGGUGCUGGAUUUUACACUUAGAACGAUUUCAAUUCAAAUUCUGUAUGAUGAUAAUGUGUGACCACAAUAAAAGAAGAUAUUAAAAAGGGGAGCAAGAAAUUCAGACAGACACUUCAGAUAAAGUACAAAUGUCCUAACAAUAUCUGCAGAGAUGUCUAAAUGAAAACAACACCACGAUGAUACUUCUCACCUACUGCCAGGCAGAAAUCAUCAAGUAAGAAUAAGGAGAGCUGGUAGGACAGGCAGCAAUGGGAGCUGUCACGAGGUGCCCAUAGGAGUGUUAGUCAGUUCAAAUGCUUUGGAAAGGAGGAGGCCAUCACUCCCCAGAGCUUUGGAAACACGUGCUUCCCGUUGCCUUAAUUACAGUGGGGCACUGGCUGCCAUAAGAAGAAGAAGAACAAGACAUGGCUUCGAGGGAAAGAAGUUUAUUUUUCUCAUACAUCUCACUUCUGACUCUCACAGUCUGGGUUACUUGGGUAACUCUGAUCCUCCCAGCUUUGGGGGGAUGCAGUUCUUUCCUGGGCUUUUUCUGCAAAGUUGAAGGUGGACCACUGAGCACCUUUGGGUUUUGACUAAUGAGGAGGGAGCGUGGAGGAAGCACACUGCUUGUCAUGGGCUCUGAUGAAGAGCAGCAGAAUGGGAAGCUGUUAAGGGUGCUCAGCAGAAAGGGAGCCUGGGAAAUGUGGGAAGAAGCAGGAAGACAUUCUGAUGGAGGACUGGGAGUCUGUUGUGCCCUGAUUACAUUUUGAUGGACACCUGGAACUCUCUGCUCUAUUCUAAGCAAUCUCAUGACUACAUGUACCUUGCAACUCUCCUGUGCAUGGCCACCAGGAGACAUAUGCAAGAAAGAUAAUAGGCACACCAUGACAUUAUGAAAAAGAAAGAAACCACCCAAAUGCUCAUCACUGUGGUAAUAAUAAAGUAAAAUCAUGAAAAAUAAAAAUUAAGAAAUAAAAAUAAAAAUCAAGAAAAGUAAAUCAUGGCAUACUCAUUUGCUGGAGUGAAAAUAAACAGACUACUGGGACACAAUUGGGAAAGGCC